rnacentral:rRNA from 1 species
AUUGAACGCUGGCGGCAGGCCUAACACAUGCAAGUCGAGCGGAUGAAGGGAGCUUGCUCCUGGAUUCAGCGGCGGACGGGUGAGUAAUGCCUAGGAAUCUGCCUGGUAGUGGGGGAUAACGUCCGGAAACGGGCGCUAAUACCGCAUACGUCCUGAUGGAGAAAGUGGGGGAUCUUCGGACCCCACGCUAUCAGAUGAGCCUAGGUCGGAUUAGCUAGUUGGUGGGGUAAAGGCCUACCAAGGCGACGAUCCGUAACUGGUCUGAGAGGAUGAUCAGUCACACUGGAACUGAGACACGGUCCAGACUCCUACGGGAGGCAGCAGUGGGGAAUAUUGGACAAUGGGCGAAAGCCUGAUCCAGCCAUGCCGCGUGUGUGAAGAAGGUCUUCGGAUUGUAAAGCACUUUAAGUUGGGAGGAAGGGCAGUAAGUUAAUACCUUGCUGUUUUGACGUUACCAACAGAAUAAGCACCGGCUAACUUCGUG